AACGCUAGCUACAGGCUUAACACAUGCAAGUCGAGGGGCAGCAUGAACAAAGCUUGCUUUGUUCGAUGGCGACCGGCGCACGGGUGAGUAACGCGUAUCCGACCUGCCCAUGACUCGGGCACAGCCGCUCGAAAGAGCGAUUGAUUCCCGAUACGUCGUAUGAGUAGAUCAUGUGAUGAAAGAUUCAUCGGUCAUGGAUGGGGAUGCGUAGGAUUAGGUAGUAGGCGGGGUAACGGCCCACCUAGCCGACGAUCCUUAGGGGUUCUGAGAGGAAGGUCCCCCACACUGGUACUGAGACACGGACCAGACUCCUACGGGAGGCAGCAGUGAGGAAUAUUGGUCAAUGGGCGGAAGCCUGAACCAGCCAAGUAGCGUGAAGGAUUACUGCCCUACGGGUUUUAAACUUCUUUUAUGCGAGAGUAAUGUGCGCCACGUGUGGUGUAUUGCAAGUAUCGCAUGAAUAAGGAUCGGCUAACUCCGUGCCAGCAGCCGCGGUAAUACGGAGGAUUCGAGCGUUAUCCGGAUUUAUUGGGUUUAAAGGGAGCGUAGGCGGGAUGUCAAGUCAGUUGUGAAAUGUAGUCGCUCAACGUCUGCACUGCAAUUGAAACUGGUAUUCUUGAGUGCGUAAGAGGCAGGUGGAAUUCGUCGUGUAGCGGUGAAAUGCUUAGAUAUGACGAAGAACUCCGAUUGCGAAGGCAGCUUGCUAGUCCGUAACUGACGCUGAAGCUCGAAGGUGCGGGUAUCGAACAGGAUUAGAUACCCUGGUAGUCCGCACAGUAAACGAUGGAUACUCGCUGUUGGCGAUAUACAGUCAGUGGCCAAGUGAAAACGUUAAGUAUCCCACCUGGGGAGUACGCCGGCAACGGUGAAACUCAAAGGAAUUGACGGGGGCCCGCACAAGCGGAGGAACAUGUGGUUUAAUUCGAUGAUACGCGAGGAACCUUACCCGGGCUUGAAUUGCUGAGGAAAGAUCCAGAGAUGGUGAUGCCCUUCGGGGCCUCAGUGAAGGUGCUGCAUGGUUGUCGUCAGCUCGUGCCGUAAGGUGUCGGCUUAAGUGC
rnacentral:rRNA from 1 species